AGUGUAGGGACGGCAGGUAGCCUAGUGGUUAGAGUGUAGGGACGGCAGCGUAGCCUAGUGGUUAGAGUGUAGGGACGGCAGCGUAGCCUAGUGGUUAGAGUGUAGGGACGGCAGCGUAGCCUAGUGGUUAGAGUGUAGGGACGGCAGCGUAGCCUAGUGGUUAGAGUGUAGGGACGGCAGCGUAGCCUAGUGGUUAGAGUGUAGGGACGGCAGCGUAGCCUAGUGGUUAGAGUGUAGGGACGGCAGCGUAGCCUAGUGGUUAGAGUGUAGGGACGGCAGCGUAGCCUAGUGGUUAGAGUGUAGGGACGGCAGCGUAGCCUAGUGGUUAGAGUGUAGGGACGGCAGCGUAGCCUAGUGGUUAGAGUGUAGGGACGGCAGCGUAGCCUAGUGGUUAGAGUGUAGGGACGGCAGCGUAGCCUAGUGGUUAGAGUGUAGGGA